AUCACAUGUAGCAAUUACCCUGUAUUACAGAGAACACUCUGAGACGUUAAACAAUUUGCCCAAGGUUACAUGAUCAAAAUGUAGAACCAAACUUCAAAAAUCAAAUCUCUACAAGCAGCAUCCUUUCUAUGUCAAUAACUGGUUCAAAGGGGAUGUCUUACUUCUCAAAUUAAAUUAUUUUAUAGGCAGGAUCAUUUCUCAUUGUUCUUUUGUACCUUACCAUUGUGCCUGUUAUGUUCAAAAAUACAUUUUGAAAAGUUCUUAAAAUAAUUGCUCUAAAUUGAAAUGUCAAAACCUGAAUAUUCUACAUGUGUCUUGGUGAUGUCCUUUAAGCUAAUCCUAUAAUACACUAAGUACAUUUAAUUGUGAAAUGUCAUUUCACAAGCUAUGUAAGCAUCCCUCGAAGCCUGCAUUUUAAUGUCUAGUUUUCAAUUUUAUGCACCUAAAAUAUCCUAUGUGAUGAUAUUAAGUAUAGUAUAUUAUCUCUGAAUAUCUCACUGCCAGUUAGCCUCAGAAUCUAAGCUUCAAAAUAAUUUACAUAGCAACUAACCUAACCCUCAGUUAUCAUGAUAAAAAAUAAUUUGUCUUAAAAAUUCAAGAACAGUACAAAGCAAAGCAGAACAAACCAGAAACAAAAUUUCAGCAUAGAAAACAACAAGAAAAUUCCAUUUGGAACCCAAAGGGGGCAGGGAAUGGUGUCUCACGCCUGUAAUCCCAGCACUUUGGGAGGCUGAAGUGGGAAGAUCGCUUGAGCCUGGGAGGUUUGAGACUGUGGUGAACCAUGAUCGUGGCACUGCACUCCAG
rnacentral:lncRNA from 1 species